rnacentral:rRNA from 1 species
GGGGGACAACAGUUGGAAACAGGUGCUAAUACCCCAUAAGCCUAAGGUUUAAAGGAGCAAUCCGGGAGAGGAGAGACUCGCGUCCUAUCAGCUAGUAGGUGAGAUAAUGGCUCACUUAGGUUAAGACGGGUAACCGGAAUGAGAGGUCGAACGGUCACAUUGGAACUGAGACACGGUCCAGACUCCUACGGGAGGCAGCAGUGGGGAAUCUUGGGCAAUGGGGGCAACCCUGACCCAGCGACGCCGCGUGGGUGAAGACAUUCUUCGGAAUGUCAAGCCCUGUUGUAUGGGAAGAUAAUGACGGUACCAUACCAGAAAGCCCCGGCAAAAUACGUGCCAGCACCCGCGGUAAUACGUAGGGGGCAAGCGUUGUCCGGAAUUACUGGGUCAUAUAGCGCACGCAGGCGGAUUCUGUAAGUCCGUCGUAAACGCUAAGGCUCAACCUUUGCUUUGUCGUCGGAUACUGCCAAUCUAGCUAUUGCGAGAGGAACGUGGAACUUUCAGGUGUACGCGGUGAAAUGCGUAGAUAUGCUGGAGGAACACCACUGCCGAAGG